AGUAUAUUGACUGUACAAAGGUAGCAUAAUCAAUAGUCUUUUAAUUGAAGACUUGUAUGAAUGAUUUGAUGAGAUAUAAACUGUCUCUUUUUUAAUAAUGGAAUUUAAUUUUUUAGUUAAAAAGCUAAAAUAGAUAUAAAAGACGAGAAGACCCUAUAGAGUUUUAUAAUUAUUUUAUUUAAAUUUUAUAUAAAAUUUAAAAUUUAUAUGAAAAUAAUAUUUUGUUGGGGUGAUAAGAAAAUUAAAAAAACUUUUUUUUAUUUUAAUAAUUUAUGAAUAAAUGAUCCAUAAUUUGAUUAAAGGAAUAAAUUACCUUAGGGAUAACAGCGUAAUAUUUUUUUUUUUAGUUCAAAUAAAAAUUAAAGUUUGCGACCUCCAUGUUGGAUUAAAAAAAAAUUUAAAUGCAAAAGUUUAAAAUUUUGAUCUGUUCGAUCAUUAAAAU
rnacentral:rRNA from 1 species